rnacentral:rRNA from 1 species
UAAUACAGAGGGUGCAAGCGUUAAUCGGAAUUACUGGGCGUAAAGCGUGCGUAGACGGUUAUGUAAGUUAGGUGUGAAAGCCCCGGGCUCAACCUGGGAAUUGCAUUUAAGACUGCAUAGCUAGGGUGCGGAAGAGGGAAGCGGAAUUUCCGGUGUAGCGGUGAAAUGCGUAGAUAUCGGAAGGAACAUCAGUGGCGAAAGCGGCUUCCUGGUCCAGCACCGACGUUCAGGCACGAAAGCGUGGGGAGCAAACAGGAUUAGAUACCCUGGUAGUCCACGCCAUAAACGAUGAGAACUAGACGUUGAGAGGGUAAGCCUCCCAGUGUCGAAGCUAACGCGAUAAGUUCUCCGCCUGGGGAGUACGGCCGCAAGGUUG